rnacentral:rRNA from 1 species
CCUACGUGUGGCAGCAGUGGGGAAUAUUGGACAAUGGGCGCAAGCCUGAUCCAGCCAUGCCGCGUGUGUGAAGAAGGCCUUCGGGUUGUAAAGCACUUUCAGUAGGGAGGAAGGGUGUUGUGUUAAUAGCACAGCAUUUUGACGUUACCCACAGAAGAAGCACCGGCUAACUCCGUGCCAGCAGCCGCGGUAAUACGGAGGGUGCAAGCGUUAAUCGGAAUUACGGGGCGUAAAGCGCACGCAGACGGCUUUUUAAGUCGGAUGUGAAAGCCCCGGGCUCAACCUGGGAAUUGCAUCUGAUACUGGGAAGCUAGAGUAUGUGAGAGGGGGGUAGAAGGCCAAGUGUAGCGGUGAAAUGCGUAGAGAUGUGGAGGAAUACCAGUGGCGAAGGCGGCCCCCUGGCACAAUACUGACGCUCAGGUGCGAAAGCGUGGGGAGCAAACAGGAUUAGAUACCCUUGUAGUC